UUUAGACACAAAGGUUUGGUCCUAGCCUUGAAAUCAAUUAUUACUUAAUAUACACAUGCAAGUCUCCGCACCCCUGUGAAAACGCCCUUUACCUCCCACAGAAAUAAGGAGCCGGUAUCAGGCACAAUCAUUAGCCCAAGACACCUAGCUAUGCCACACCCACAAGGGAACUCAGCAGUGAUUAACAUUGAACAUAAGCGACAGCUUGACUCAGUUAAAGUAAAAAGAGCCGGCAAAUCUGGUGCCAGCCGCCGCGGUUACACCAUGAGGCUCAAAUUGAUCUUUUUCGGCGUAAAGCGUGAUUAAAGUUAUCAAAACAAUUAUAGUUGUAUUAAAACUAAGCCGUAAUACGCUUGUCUUUAAGAAACUCAAUAAACGAAAGUUACUAUAUUUAUCCCAACUUGAACCCACGACAGCUAGGACACAAACUGGGAUUAGAUACCCCACUAUGCCUAGUCGUAAACUUUUAACUACACCUACAUCGCCAGGGAACUACGAGCAAAGCUUAAAACCCAAAGGACUUGACGGUACCCCACAUCCACCUAGAGGAGCCUGUCCUAUAAUCGAUAACCCCCGCUAAACCUCACCAUUUUUGGUUAAUCAGCCUGUAUACCUCCGUCGUCAGCUUACCUCGUGAGCGAUCUAUAGUGAGCUUAAUGUCCACACGUCAAUACGUCAGGUCAAGGUGCAGUAAAUAAAAUGGGAAGAGAUGGGCUACACUCUCUAAUAUAGAAUAUACGAAAGACUAUAUAUGAAACCUAGUCAAAAGGCGGAUUUAGUAGUAAAAAGAGAUCAUUAAGCUCUUUUUAACACGGCACUGGGGUGUGUACACACCGCCCGUCACCCUCUUCAAUACCAAGAAAUAGUAUAUAACACAUAUCAGUAAACUAGAAGAGGCAAGUCGUAACAUGGUAAGUAUACCGGAAGGUGUGCUUGGAAACAAAAUGUAGCUUAAAUAAAGCCUCUUGCUUACACCAAGAAAAUAUCUGUGGAACUCAGAUCAUUUUGAACCAAAAACCUAGCCCCGCUACAAUCUAAUGAACUACAAAAACUAACUCAACUAACCAAAACAUUUUUAUAUUUUAGUAAAGGCGAUUAAAAAAAUUCUAUGGAGCUAUAAUGACAGUACCGCAAGGGAAAAGUGAAAUAAUAAUGAAAUAAUUUUAAGUACACUAAAGUAGAGAUUUAACCUCGUACCUUUUGCAUCAUGGUUUAACUAGUCAAAUCAAGCGAAACGACUUACAGUCUGACCUCCCGAAACUAAGCGAGCUACUUCAGGGCAGCUUAUUGAGCAAACCCGUCUCUGUUGCAAAAGAGUGGGAAGACCCUCAAGUAGCGGUGAUAGACCUAACGAGCUUAGUGAUAGCUGGUUAUUCAAGAAAAGGAUUUUAGUCCAGCCUAAAGAUCUAUUAAUAAUCUUAAUAUAACAACUACUUUAGAGUAAUUCAAAUAAGGUACAGCCUAUUUGAAACAGGAUACAACCUCAAUCAAAGGGUAAUUAUACGUUUUAACAACCAAGUAGGCCCAAAAGCAGCCAUCUUUAAAAUAGCGUCAAAGCUUAAUUGUUUAUACUACUAAUACCAAAAAUAACUUAGAACCCUUCACUACUAUUGAAUAAUUCUAUAUAUUUAUAGAACAUUUUAUGUUAAAACUAGUAACAAGAAGAAGACCUUCUCUUAAAUGUAAAUGUAAGUCAAAAAGGACUAACCAGUGACUAUUAACACCAAUGAACAAAAAUUAACAACUCACAAGAAAACCUUACUUUUUAUUAUGUUAACCUAACACAAGAACAUUUCAAGAAAGAUUAAAAGAAAAAGAAGGAACUCGGCAAAAAUUAACCUCGCCUGUUUACCAAAAACAUCGCCUCUUGAGUAUACUUAUAAGAGGUCCAGCCUGCCCAGUGACUCUGUUCAACGGCCGCGGUAUCCUAACCGUGCGAAGGUAGCGUAAUCACUUGUUCUUUAAAUAAGGACUAGUAUGAAUGGCACCACGAAGGUUACACUGUCUCCUUUCUCUAAUCAGUGAAACUAAUCUCCCCGUGAAGAAGCGGGGAUUUAAGUAUAAGACGAGAAGACCCUAUGGAGCUUUAAACUAAAUAACACUUGCUCUUAUAUUCCUAUAUUUGAGAAUACUAACACCUAUUUUAGCUUUAUGAUUUUUAGUUUUAGGUUGGGGUGACCGCGGAGCAAAACAAAACCUCCACAUUGAAUGGGGUUUCACACCCUGAGCAACGAGCUACAACUCUACGCACCAAUAAAUUGACAUAAAUUGACCCAAUAUUUUGAUCAACGAACCAAGUUACCCUAGGGAUAACAGCGCAAUCCGCUUCAAGAGCUCCUAUCGACAAGCGGGUUUACGACCUCGAUGUUGGAUCAGGGUAUCCCAGUGGUGUAGCCGCUACUAAAGGUCGUU
rnacentral:ncRNA from 1 species